rnacentral:rRNA from 1 species
GCGUGAGUGACGAAGGCCUUAGGGUUGUAAAGCUCUUUUGGCGGGGAAGAUAAUGACGGUACCCGCAGAAUAAGCUCCGGCUAACUUCGUGCCAGCAGCCGCGGUAAUACGAAGGGAGCUAGCGUUGUUCGGAAUCACUGGGCGUAAAGCGCACGUAGGCGGGCGCGUAAGUCAGGGGUGAAAUCCCGGGGCUCAACCUCGGAACUGCCUUUGAUACUGCGUGUCUGGAGUCCGGAAGAGGUGGGUGGAAUUCCUAGUGUAGAGGUGAAAUUCAU